rnacentral:rRNA from 1 species
GACGUAGGGUGCGAGCGUUGUCCGGAAUUAUUGGGCGUAAAGAGCUCGUAGGCGGUCCGUCACGUCGGAUGUGAAAUUCCAGGGCUCAACCCUGGACCUGCAUUCGAUACGGGCGGACUAGAGUUCGGUAGGGGAGACUGGAAUUCCUGGUGUAGCGGUGAAAUGCGCAGAUAUCAGGAGGAACACCAGUGGCGAAGGCGGCUCACUGGCCCGAUACUGACGCUGAGGCACGAAAGCGUGGGGAGCAAACAGG